rnacentral:lncRNA from 1 species
AGAGUUUAGGAGUGUGACAGGUGUCACACGUGUCACACGUGUCACACAUUGGAUGAGUGGUGAGUACUGAGGUGUGAGGAACAGGGAGAGAUGGUCUGAUUGUCCAAUGUGGGGCAGGGGGUGUGCUUUGUAGGCUCCAGCCAGGUUGGAAUAAACAUAGUCCAAAGUCUUAUCCCCUCUGGUGUUACAGGAGACAUGUUGGUGGAAUCUGGGGAGGACUGUCUUCAAGUUGGAGUGGUUAAAGUCACCAGCAACAAUAAAGACAGCCCCAGGGUGUUUGGUCUGGUGUUUGCUAAUGGCUGCACAAAGUUCUUUCAUAGUCAGCUUAGCAUUAGCAUCCGGGGGGUAUACACUGCAGUGAGUAGGAUGGAAGUGAAUUCUCUGUGGAGAUAGUGUUGGAAAUUCUUUAUUAGGAAUAGGAAUUUCAAGGGGGUCCUAUAGGCAGCAGUACACUGUAAUACAAUACAGUACAAUACCAUACCAUACAAUACAAUACGAUACAAAACAAAAAAAACAAAACUGCCAGCCUGCAGCAUGCAACAUACAGACACGCAACACAGAACAGAUCAAAAUCAAAAGAAACAACAACCAAAACUGCAGCAAAAAGGAAAACUGCGAAAAGCAAGGAGAAGGACAAAAAAAAAGAAAGGAGGAAAGGAAAAAAAAGGGGGGGGGGGGGGAUAUGAAUAAGAUCAACAAGGUAAAUAUGAAUGGUGAUACAGUGCAUGCAAUGGGUCAGAUCAGCUGUGUCGACCAAAUUGGACACGUGCAAGGGUGAUGAGUCAGGCGCAUGUACAGGAGAAGGUGUAAUAAGAGGUAAGUGCUCUUUUAAACAUAUGGAAUGAUGUGAUUGUUCGAAUAUUUGUUGGCAAAUUGUUCCAAUCUGAUGGGGCUUUGAACUUAAAGGCUUUUUUACCUGCCUUGGAGACUGGUGGGACAAUAAAGUAGGGCUGGGCGAUGUGCCUCAACGGAUAACUAGUGGAAAAUGGUUGAAGUAGUUGUUUGAGAUAUGAUGGAUAAUUGAGGCGUAUACAUUUGAAAAUAAACCGUGACCAGUGACACUGUCUUCGUAUUGCUAAAGAGGGCAACUGGAGAUUUUCAUACAUAGUACAGUGGUGGGUGGUGAAAGAACAACCUAGGAUGAAUCUGCAAAGUUUGUUGUACACAGUGUCGAGGAUUAACAGAUUGGUUGUGGAGGCAACUUGAUAGAAAAAAUCGGCAUAAUCAAAUAAAGGCAGGAUAAGCUGUAAUAUUAGUCUUUUCCUAACCAAGAAAGAGUGACAGUUUCUUGAACGAUAGAGAGCACCAAUACAGAGAUUGACUUUACGUGCAAUAUGAUCAAUAUGGUAUUUGAAUGACAGUUCACUAUCAAGCCACAAACCCAGGUAUUUGGUGCUUUCAACUCUAUGCAGUGGAGUUCCAUCCAAGCUGGAGAUGGAGAGGAGGAUAGUAAGGUCUUCAUUCAACCAUUAAGAACUCCACAUUAGGUGAGCAUUGUCUCUCAGUAGUAGUAGAGUCUGUGCACCAAGCUUUGUUGAUAUAAAUGCACAAGCCCUUCACCUCUGGUGUUACCAGAGUCAUCUGCUAUCCUGUCAGCUCGGUGUGUGUGACGUCCUGCUAACUCAAUAGCAUUAUCCGGGCAGCUACUGUUUCGCCAUGUUUCAGUGAAAAUCAAGACAUUUGAGUCCAUAAUCCGUCUGUUGUUUGUGAUGGAGAGUUGUAUUUCAUCCAUCUUGUUUGCCAGAGAGCAGACAUUGGUGAGGAAAAUGCUGGGUAAGGGGAGCCGGUGUAGUAUUCACUUUAGCUUAGCUCGUAGCCCUCCGUGCCUGCCUCACCUUUGUUUACGUUUUCGGCGCUGCCUGCGUGCACUUCCGCCCAGCCGGAAAGAGUGAGCAGCCUCCGGUGUUCUGGAGAUCUCUGGGAUGAGUCGGAGAUCUGCGAUAAAACUGUCGGAAUGUUGAGUCCAAAUGUUCAGAAGCUCCCGUCUGCUGUAGGACAGCAAUGCAGAGCAAUUCUGGAUGAAUAAUCCAGUCAGGAGUAGGUAGAAAACUGCUAAAUAGCAGAUUCUGGAGAGUUGCUGAGCCUUGUGUUGUUCACGCGCCGCCGUCUUGGUUUUGGUCGAUCUUGUUCACAACCAGCAAUUCUGGUCUGCUGGUCUCAGUGAUUAACUGGUCUUGGGAUCUGUUAGCGAUUACUCCUCUCCCCCCCUAAGCCUUAAUCUCAGGACCUGUUUGCAUCUACUCCCUUCUAUCUCCAUAAGACCCAGUCUCAGAAGUCUCGGGAUCUGUUAGCGAUCACUCCUCUGUCCCCCUGGGACUUAAUUCCGGGACCUGUUUGCAUCUACUCCUUUCUAUCCCCAUAAGACCCAGUCGGCAGACACUUGGCCAAGUUUUUAAACUGCUUAGACACCAAUUGUCAAUUUGUCUGUCUCACAGUGUUUUCCACACAUUUUAAAGCAGUCUUCAUGUGCGCAUGAAUAAGAAGUGAGAGACUCCACCUGACUCUGCCUUCUUUGUUUCUAGGUUCUUUAUUUUGCGAGAGCCCAAACACACGUUAGUCUCACCUCACAGUGAAAUCACACAUUUAUUAGAGAGACAAAAUUCUCCUACCUUAUUGUGCCGGCACAUGGAUUUCACCUGUGUGGGGAGGCCACCGCCUCAGGCAAAAACUUGGCUAAGCUCGCCACUUAUAUAGUAGAUUUCAUAGAUGCAAAGGUGCAAAAAUGGACCACAUGAAGACAGAAUCAAGCUGGCAGAAUGGACUGUAGAGGCCCAAAGAAUCCCUAGAAUCCCCAGAAUUGUUCCUUCAUUAUCUUCUUAUACCACCCUAAUGGCGUCAUUAGUCCUAUUCCUGUAAUCGGCUUUCACACUGGUGUCUGAUAGCCAACAAUGUGACUUCUUACGUAAACAUGCACAUAUCCUUGCUGGCCGGCUCUGCCAAUUUUCCUCUUGAGAUAACCAUUAAUCAUGUGUAAAAAGUUCCCCAUGACCUAGACUCUCUCUGGCUGUAUCCUGCAUCCUGUUUUACAAUAACUUUGCUCAGAACAUGUUUAUUAUUAGCUCCCACAGCUGCUGUUAGAGUUCACAUGGGCAGACAUUAACAUAACAUUAACUAAAGACACCAAACGAUUCCUUCUCCAUUAUUUACAUGGUGUCAGAAGUGAAAGUGUGGAGUUAUGGCCAAGUUUAACCCUCAGACGAACUUCUCAUUCGACAAGUCUGGAGAAUGGCGGGAUUGGAAACAGCGUUUUGUGUGAUUCAGGACUGCCACUAAGUUCAACAAGGAAGAGGGCGCCGUGCAAGUAAGCAGCUUGAUAUUUGCCAUGGGGAGUGAGGCGGAAAAUGUCUUCCGGUCUUUUGUUUUUGCCGAAGCUGCACAUGGAGACUUUCAUCAAGGCUUUUCACAAACUCUCUUAGCAUUGUGAAUUUGGCGCCAGCAGAGACAAGAACAUCCGCGAUCAAAUUGUUGUUGGAAUACUCAACAAAGAACUCUCAAGAAAGAAAGUUCUGCUAGAUAGCCCAGGUGGUGAGCUGCAGUGCUUAGGACAGAUCCAGAACACUGUGUCCUACAAAGGAAAGACUCACCCACUCACUGUAUAUGUGUCCAUGGUGAGUAAUGCAAACCGGUGGCCUAUUUCUACAGAUGCCCUAUGGAAGCAGAAACACGCUACGCCCAAAUUGAAACAGAAAGUCUGGCCAGCUCGUGGGUGUGUGUCAGAGUCUAGACAAUGUAUCUCUAAGGUGCCAGUGCCUUUUCAUGAGACUCAUGAGGUUAAAUCCUGUAGCAUAGUACGCUCCUGGUAAAACCUUGGUUGUCGCAGACACUCUUAGUCCAGUUGGAAGGAGGGGGUUCAGUGCACCCCCCGGAGAUAUAUUUCUAAUCAGUGUUUUUCUAUAGGAAAAAAUGUGCUGAAAAUGAUGAGUUAUGAUAAAAAGUUCUCAGAAUGUCCCAUCUGCCCCAAAACCCCAAAAAAACCACUUUUUGGUACAUGGCUCCGGCGAAAUUGUGUUAAGGCAAAUAUUAAUUCACUAAAAUUACAUAAUUGGACAUGAAAGUCUAAAAUUUGGCAUGUGGUAUCCUGAGACAUAGGGUUAAGUAGCCCAAUAAGAUUUUAGGACCUGCUACAACUGUAUUCAUAAUUAUGACCAACAUCAUCCCCAGAAACACAAAAAAAUAUACUGUCCGCUUGACAAAUAAUAACAAAGAUGAUUGAUUUCCAGCACUUUAUGGUGAAUAUCACUGCCUCAUUUGUAUAUAUAAACUUCCCAUGUCCCUAAGCUUCAAUUU